UAAAAUAUAUAAUUUGCGUCAAUUUUAAUUCCUUUUUAGGUUAUUACAGUGACUGUUUUCAUGGAUGGGGAGUAAAACUUUGUGGUCUAAUACUUCUCAUAAAUGAAUAAAGAUUUUGGAUCCUUUUAGUUUGAAAGAUUGUCAGGAACAUGAAGAAACUGAAUCCAUAAUAAACAUGUGUACACAAACCGACAAAAUAACAACACUGGUUGAUACAAUUCUGGGAACCGGUGAAGAAGUUAAAAGUUUUACAAUAUACUGAAGACUUGCAAUGGAAAAUCCAGAAACAGGUCUUUUACGAAACAGUAUGAGAGAGCCAAGAUGAUUGCUGGAUUUAAAAUGCUUGGAAAAAACAACCAAAUGAAGACAAAAAAUGCACUGCAUCAACGAACAAAACAACUACUGGAACGUUGGGGCACCAGUACUGAUUUCUGAUUCUAAAAACAAUUGUUCAAAAUCUUCUACAUAUUUACGAAGACUGUACAUACAUGUAUAUAUAUAUAUAUUUAUAUAAGAAAGAAAAAAAUAAUGCAUGUGCUUGAAACUUGUCUACAUACAUGUAAUGAAUAGAAAAAAUGAAAGAAAAAAAAAAUGAAAACAAAA